rnacentral:rRNA from 1 species
GACGAACGCUGGCGGCGUGCCUAAUACAUGCAAGUAGAACGCUGACGGCGGAGCUUGCUUCUCUGGAUGAGUUGCGAACGGGUGAGUAACGCGUAGGUAACCUGCCUGGUAGCGGGGGAUAACUAUUGGAAGCGAUAGCUAAUACCGCAUAAUAUUGACUACUGCAUGUUAGUCAGCUGAAAGUUACAACUGCACCACUACCAGAUCGACCUGCGUUGUCUUAGCUUAUUGGUGGGGAAACGGCUACCCACGGCGACGAUACAUAGCCGACCUGGGAGGGGGAUCGGCCACACUGGGAGUGAGACACGGGCCAGACUGCGACGGGGGGCAGCAGUAGGGAACCUUCGGCAAUGGACGGAAGUCUGACCGAGCAACGCCGGGUGAGUGAAGAAGGUUUUCGGGUCGUAAAGCUCUGGUGUAAGGGGAGAACGAGUGUGAGAGUGGAAAGCGCACACUGUGACGGUAUCUUACCAGAAAGGGACGGCUAACUACGUG